UACGUAGGUGGCAAGCGUUGUCCGGAUUUACUGGGCGUAAAGAGCGCGCAGGCGGUCGUUCAAGUCGCGUGUGAAAGCCCCCGGCUCAACUGGGGAGGGUCACGCGAUACUGAUCGACUCGAAGGCAGGAGAGGGUAGUGGAAUUCCCGGUGUAGUGGUGAAAUGCGUAGAUAUCGGGAGGAACACCAGUGGCGAAGGCGACUACCUGGCCUGUUCUUGACGCUGAGGCGCGAAAGCUAAGGGGAGCAAACGGG
rnacentral:rRNA from 1 species